ACGCGUUAGCUACGAUACUGCAUGGGUCAAUACACACAACAUCUAGUAUCCAUCGUUUACAGCUAGGACUACUGGGGUAUCUAAUCCCAUUUGCUCCCCUAGCUUUCGUCUCUCAGUGUCAGUAAUGGCCCAGUAGAGUGCCUUCGCCAUCGGUGGUCUUUCCAAUAUCUACGCAUUUCACCGCUCCACUGGAAAUUCCCUCUACCCCUACCAUACUCUAGUUUGAAAGUUUCCACGGCAUCUUUGAAGUUAAGCCUCAAUUUUUAACAGUGGACUUUUCGAACCACCUACAGACGCUUUACGCCCAGUGAUUCCGGAUAACACUUGCAUCCUCCGUCUUACCGCGGCUGCUGGCACGGAGUUAGCCGAUGCUUAUUCAUCAAGUACACGUCAGAACUUCCUCCUUGAUAAAAGAGGUUUACAACCCAAGGGCCGUCAUCCCUCACGCGGUAUUGCUCCGUCAGGCUUGCGCCCAUUGCGGAAAAUUCCCCACUGCUGCCUCCCGUA
rnacentral:rRNA from 1 species